rnacentral:rRNA from 1 species
UAUCUCUGUAGAGUCUGCAUAUCAAUAAGCGGAGGAAAAGAAACUAACUAGGAUUCCCUUAGUAACGGCGAGUGAAGCGGGAAGAGCUCAAAUUUGAGAUCUUCAAGGUUCUACCUUGACGAAUUGUAGUUUAAAGAAGUGUUUUCUGUUGGAGUUUUGGUAAAAGUUCUUUGGAAUAGGACAUCAUAGAGGGUGAGAAUCCCGUAUUUGACCAUUUCUUCCAGCUGUGUGAUACACUUUCAAAGAGUCGGAUUGUUUGGGAAUGUAGUCCAAAAUGGGUGGUAAAUUUCAUCUAAAGCUAAAUAUUGGCGAGAGACCGAUAGCGAACAAGUACCGUGAGGGAAAGAUGAAAAGAACUUUGAAAAGAGAGUUAAACAGUACGUGAAAUUGUCAAAAGGGAAGCGUUUGACACCAGUGUUGUUUUCUCGAAAAUCAAUUAAAAGUGGCCGGAUUUUGUGUUGUAUUGACUUUAUCAGCUUUCUGCACUUUUUUCUUGUCUUUUUUAAUGCACUUUUCGUUUAACAAGUCAACAUCAAUUUCUUUUGUUGUAAAAGAGUCAUUGGAAGGUGGCUUUCACUUCGGUGAAAGUGUUUAUAGCCUUUGACUUCUGCAAUCGGAGAGAUUGAGGUCUGCAGCGUAGAUCCUUCGGGGUUAGAUACAUUUGUGCUAAGUUAUAGUUUUUCAUAGACAACAUGUUGACUAUGAUUAAUCAUGUAGCUUACUCGCUUAUGCUAUUUUACCUACGCUUAGGAUGUUGAACGCGCACAGAGUCUC